rnacentral:rRNA from 1 species
UACGUAGGGGGGCAAGCGUUGUCCGGAAUCAUUGGGCGUAAAGCGCGUGUAGGCGGUUCGAUAAGUCUGCUGUGAAAGUCCAGGGCUCAACCCUGGGAUGCCGGUGGAUACUGUCGGACUAGAGUACGGAAGAGGCGAGUGGAAUUCCCGGUGUAGCGGUGAAAUGCGCAGAUAUCGGGAGGAACACCAAUUGCGAAGGCAGCUCGCUGGGACGUCACUGACGCUGAGACGCGAAAGCGUGGGGAGCAAACAGGG